GUGCAUGCUGGGCUAUAAUUUAUGAAACGGAGCCCAGGAAACAACCAAUCGUUUAGCUCCUCCUAACAAGUCCAACUGGCUAUGAAAAGCUGGAGGUGCUGCACAGAACAAUGAAGAGGAGCUAUCCCACAUACUAAUCUGCUUAUCCAGGAUUGCCUUCUGUGUAGAGAGAGGGAAGCAUGUAACAAGGAGAGGAAAAAAAAGAAAAAUCACAGCUUUGCUGUUGUUGAAAUAACUGAAUAAAUUUCAGCCUACAGGCAAGUCGUCCACUGUAUCAG
rfam:Buceros rhinoceros silvestris contig121544, whole genome shotgun sequence.